rnacentral:rRNA from 1 species
CACGUAGGAGGCAAACGUUAUCCGGAUUUACUGGGCGUAAAGCGCGUGUAGGUGGUUCUGUAAGUAGGGCGUGAAAGCUCCCGGCUCAACUGGGAGAUGCCGUUCUAAACUGCAGAGCUUGAGGAUGGUAGAGGGAGGUGGAAUUCCAGGUGUAGCGGUGGAAUGCGCAGAUAUCUGGAGGAACACCAGUGGCGAAGGCGGCCUCCUGGACCAUUCCUGACACUCAGACGCGAAAGCUAGGGUAGCAAACGGGAUUAGAGACCCCGGUAGUCCUAGCCCUAAACGAUGUAGACUAGGCGUCGGUGGUUUAAUCACCAUCGGUGUCCAAGCAAACGCGAUAAGUCUACCGCCUGGGGACUACGGCCGCAAGGUUAAAACUCAAAGGAAUUGACGGGUCCCCGCACAAGCAGCGGAGCGUGUGGUUUAAUUCGUUGCUACACGAAGAACCUUACCUGGGUUUGACAUAGCAGUGGUAGGGAAGCGAAAGCGGACCGACCCUUCGGGGAGCUGUUACAGGUGUUGCAUGGCU